UGGGGAAUAUUGGACAAUGGGCGAAAGCCUGAUCCAGCGACGCCGCGUGAGUGAUGAAGGCCUUCGGGUUGUAAAGCUCUGUUGAGGGAGAAGAAAACAGUUAGAACUAAUAUGUCUAGCUCUUGACGGUAUCCCUUUAGCAAGCACCGUCUAACUCUGUGCCAGCAGCCGCGGUAAUACAGAGGGGGCAAGCGUUGUUCGGAAUUACUGGGCGUAAAGGGCGCGUAGGCGGCCUGCUAAGUCGAACGUGAAAUCCCCGGGCUCAACCCGGGAACUGCGUCCGAUACUGGUUGGCUUGAAUUCGGGAGAGGGAUGUGGAAUUCCAGGUGUAGCGGUGAAAUGCGUAGAUAUCUGGAGGAACACCGGUGGCGAAGGCGGCAUCCUGGACCGAUAUUGACGCUGAUGCGCGAAAGCCAGGGGAGCAAA
rnacentral:rRNA from 1 species